AUUAGCUAUUACAUAAGGUUUUAUUUAAGGCAAACAAUGGGCAAACAACCAUCAAGGGCUAUUUGAAGCAGAAGAUGUGGGUUAGAAGUGCACUAUGGUCUACAUUAUGUUGUCAUUUGCUUUUGUAGUGUUCAAGACUACGGCUUUACUUCAAUCUCGCCUUGAUGGUUUCAGUUAACGUUGCUUUGCUGAAUUGCUGAUGCAGCACAGAAUAAUGGAAGUUGGAAACGGUUGUAGUGCUUCAGAGAGCGAUACAAGCCCUAUUCUGCAGCUCUUUUGCUUUUGUUGGGUGCCUGAGCUACUUUGUGAACAUAUUUUUUCAGAAGUCAU
rnacentral:lncRNA from 1 species